GCAAAAUCUGACCAAAUCAAUUUCUUCAUUAUUUUUCAAGCAAACUUAAAAUCGUUUUUAAUUAUACAAUACUAAACCCUAAGAUAGUACAUAGAGAACCCAAGCAAAAAAAUUUAUAGAUUUUAUUGAAUUUUAGUUUUAAUCAAAUCAAACUCUUUCUCUCUUUCAAGUUGAUGUGUCUAUGCUUUGGUUUCUUGGAAAGAUAAAGGAAGAAAAAGAAGAAUAGGAAAGUGCAAGUUGUAGGAUUUGGGAUAUUUUUCGUGGGAGUUUUCUGUGAUUCAACAAUUCUUUGGAGAAGAUGAUGUCAAUGACUGGAGGAUAUAGAUGACUUUUCACCAGGGAAGAGUAUCUGUUUUUGAAUGUUAUGUAAGAAGUGCCUUAAAGUAAAUAUAUA
rnacentral:sRNA from 1 species